UACGGGGGGGGCAAGCGUUGUUCGGAAUUACUGGGCGUAAAGCGUACGUAGGCGGUUACUCAAGUCAGAGGUGAAAGCCCGGGGCUCAACCCCGGAACUGCCUUUGAAACUAGGUAGCUAGAAUCUUGGAGAGGCGAGUGGAAUUCCGAGUGUAGAGGUGAAAUUCGUAGAUAUUCGGAAGAACACCAGUGGCGAAGGCGACUCGCUGGACAAGUAUUGACGCUGAGGUACGAAAGCGUGGGGAGCAAACAGG
rnacentral:rRNA from 1 species